GAGACUGGGGUGAUGAAGAACCGAGGAGCAGCUUCUCAAAGAGGGAGGCAUUCACGAUCAAGAAUAGCAAAACAGAUUGAACAAGAACUGUAAUCGGGUUCGUCGGGGAAAGAUUGAUCUCGAAGUUGCUCAGGUUACAGAUGUGCAGAACUAUAGUUAUCGGCAGCAAUGAAUGCGAUGAAAUCUCCUAAUUCUAUUCUGAGAUAAGAGAAAGACCCACCUGCAACUGGGAUAUCAACAGCAAAUUCUGUAUAGCAGAAAGCAGAGAGAGGCAGAGAGACCUGAAGCGGCAUAGGAUAGAACAAUGGUAGGCCGACAUGGUUGUGAGCUUCUUGACCUGUGAGAAUGAAGAUGCCAAUGCCAACAAUAGAGCCGAAGCUAACCAGAUGAGAUCCCACCAUGUGAGGCAUCGUUUCAUGCUAUUCUUGCUCUGUCUACUCAACACUUCCAACUCGUUUGACUAGGUGGAGCAGUCCAGGAGACGAUCCUUGAAUCAGAAACAUAUCUGAGAGAACACUGAUCUAUAGCUACUCCAGCUUUGAAAGGACUGUUCAGGGAAGAAAUCUUGUUUGCUCCCAUCUCCAAUAGCUUCUCUCUUGACCUCCUUCAGCCUUCCAUCCAUGGCGUUGUUGGAACCUCAAGAGAAGUGAGAGAGAGUGCUUAUAUUUGUACUGAUCUUAGUUGGGUAGUUGCAGAGAGUUAUUAAUUACUGAUUCAUUAGAGAUAUUAAUAGGUUUUGAAUUUUUAAACAAAUGGAAAUCAACGAUUGACUGAUCU